rnacentral:rRNA from 1 species
AUUGAACGCUGGCGGCAGGCCUAACACAUGCAAGUCGAACGAGUGGCGGACGGGUGAGUAAUGUCUGGGAAACUGCCUGAUGGAGGGGGAUAACUACUGGAAACGGUAGCUAAUCCCGCAUACCAUCGGAUGUGCCCAGAUGGGAUUAUCUAGUAGGUGGGGUAAAGUCUCACCUAGGCGACGAUCCCUAGCUGGUCUGAGAGGAUGACGAGGCACACUGGAACUGAGGAACGGUGCAGACUCCUACGGGAGGUAGCAGGGGGGAAUAUUGAAAAAUGGGCGAAAGCAUGAUGCAGCCAUGCCGCGUGUAUGAAGAAGGCUUUCGGGUUGUAAAGUACUUUCAGCGGGGAGGCGUUACCCGCAGAAGAAGCACCGGCUAACUCCGUGCCAGCCGCCGCGGAAUUC